AGAGCUCAAAUUUGAAAUCUAGUAGCCUUCGGCUGCUCGAGUUGUAAUCUAGAGAAGUGUUUUCCGUGCCGGCCCAUGUACAAGUCCCUUGGAACAGGGCGUCAUAGAGGGUGAGAAUCCCGUCCUUGACAUGGACCCCCGGUGCUCUGUGAUACACUUUCAACGAGUCGAGUUGUUUGGGAAUGCAGCUCAAAAUGGGUGGUGAAUUCCAUCUAAAGCUAAAUAUUGGCGAGAGACCGAUAGCGAACAAGUACCGUGAGGGAAAGAUGAAAAGCACUUUGGAAAGAGAGUUAAACAGUACGUGAAAUUGUUGAAAGGGAAACGAUUGAAGUCAGUCAUGCUCUUUGGUAUUUAUAUCAUUGAGUGGGGUCAACAUCAGUUUUGAUCGAUGGAUAAAGGCACUAGGAAGGUAGCACUCUCGGGUGAACUUAUAGCCUAGCGUCAUAUACAUUGAUUGGGACUGAGGAACGCAGCAUGCCUUUAUGGCCGGGAUUCGUCCACGUACAUGCUUAGGAUGUUGACAUAAUGGCUUUAAACGACCCGUCUUGA
rnacentral:rRNA from 1 species